AUGCAAAAAAUUGUGGAAUUUGUUGGAUGACAAGUGCUAGUACAAUAGCAAUUGAUUUAACAUGUAACAUAUACAAGUCGUGAAGGUGGUUUUAUUUCAAUGGGGAGUGUGAUGGUGUUUGUGGACAAUGGAAGGAAACAUGCUGAAUUAUAAAGCGGCGGUGGCGAUGCAUAAAUGUGUGUAUGGAAUUUAGGUGUCCGUGAGAGUCACAUUGUUGUUGAUGGACAGUGUCUGAAUCACUCGUGUGGUUACAACAGUUAAGCAUGUGGGGGACCUGAAUAUGACCUGAUAUUGUUCUUUGUUCAACAGUCUAUGUUUUAGUUUUAGUAAUUAAUAAUGUAAUGUUCCCUUUGGUCUUUCUUUGACCUAACUCUGCCCUUUCCUUCUCAUCAUCAUAACUCCUUAUCUUCCACGCUUUUGCUUCUUUUUUCUCUUAUUUUCUCUAUCG
rnacentral:lncRNA from 1 species